CAUAGCCUAUCUUGUUUGUAGUUUGGUAUCUAUUUGAACCAACAAAUUAACAUAGGGAGCUAUUACUUUGGCAAUGGAAUUGACGCCUCUGUAGAGUGGAACAACGAAGUUGUCAGGACAGCACCCACCUUAUUAGAACAGGUUCAAAGAUAAACAAAUUACGGCAAGGUGGGUUUGUU
rnacentral:other from 1 species